AGAGUUUGAUCAUGGCUCAGAUUGAACGCUGGCGGCAGGCUUAACACAUGCAAGUCGAGCGGGGAAGGGUAGCUUGCUACCUGACCUAGCGGCGGACGGGUGAGUAAUGCUUAGGAAUCUGCCUAUUAGUGGGGGACAACAUUCCGAAAGGAAUGCUAAUACCGCAUACGCCCUACGGGGGAAAGCAGGGGAUCUUCGGACCUUGCGCUAAUAGAUGAGCCUAAGUCAGAUUAGCUAGUUGGUGGGGUAAAGGCCUACCAAGGCGACGAUCUGUAGCGGGUCUGAGAGGAUGAUCCGCCACACUGGGACUGAGACACGGCCCAGACUCCUACGGGAGGCAGCAGUGGGGAAUAUUGGACAAUGGGCGAAAGCCUGAUCCAGCCAUGCCGCGUGUGUGAAGAAGGCCUUUUGGUUGUAAAGCACUUUAAGCGAGGAGGAGGCUACUUAGAUUAAUACUCUUGGAUAGUGGACGUUACUCGCAGAAUAAGCACCGGCUAACUCUGUGCCAGCAGCCGCGGUAAUACAGAGGGUGCGAGCGUUAAUCGGAUUUACUGGGCGUAAAGCGUGCGUAGGCGGCUUUUUAAGUCGGAUGUGAAAUCCCUGAGCUUAACUUAGGAAUUGCAUUCGAUACUGGGAAGCUAGAGUAUGGGAGAGGAUGGUAGAAUUCCAGGUGUAGCGGUGAAAUGCGUAGAGAUCUGGAGGAAUACCGAUGGCGAAGGCAGCCAUCUGGCCUAAUACUGACGCUGAGGUACGAAAGCAUGGGGAGCAAACAGGAUUAGAUACCCUGGUAGUCCAUGCCGUAAACGAUGUCUACUAGCCGUUGGGG
rnacentral:rRNA from 1 species